AACUUCUGCUAAUCCCGGAUGAGCCCUAGGGUAAAAGAUAAAUUGCCUGGAGAUGAGCUCGCGUCUGAUUAGCUAGUUGGUGUGAUAAAAGCAUACCAAGGCGACGAUCAGUAGCUGGUCUGAGAGGAUGAGCAGCCACACUGGGACUGAGACACGGCCCAGACUCCUACGGGAGGCAGCAGUGGGGAAUUUUCCGCAAUGGGCGAAAGCCUGACGGAGCAAGACCGCGUGGGGGAGGAAAGCUCUAGGGUUGUAAACCCCUUUUCCUUGGGAAGAAGUACUGACGGUACCAAAGGAAUCAGCCUCGGCUAACUCCGUGCCAGCAGCCGCGGUAAUACGGAGGAGGCAAGCGUUAUCCGGAAUGAUUGGGCGUAAAGCGUCCGCAGGUGGCCAUGUAAGUCUGCUGUCAAAACCCAGGGCUUAACUCUGGUCAGGCAGUGGAAACUACAAAGCUAGAGUUCGGUAGGGGCAAAGGGAAGUCCCGGUGUAGCGGUGAAAUGCGUAGAUAUCGGGAAGAACAUCGGUGGCGAAAGCGCUUUGCUAGACCAAAACUGACACUCAGGGACGAAAGCUAGGGGAGCG
rnacentral:rRNA from 1 species